AUCACUUCUCAGGCUUUUGGCUGAGAUCAGGUGUAGUAUCAGUGAUUAUCAGUUUAAUAUCUGACAACUCCUCUCUCCGAGGACAUUAUAUUAAAUGGAAUUUUGGAGCUUGGAGAUGGAAUAGGAGCUUGCUCGUCCACUCCAAGCAUUGACCUGGUAUUGUGGUACUUAUGGAAACGGUGCACCCCCU